AAAAGGUGUUUUUGCAGAUGCGAUUGGGGUUAAGCACCUCCAGCUAGCGAGAUGAUGCUGGCUUAUCUGGGUGGGCCUGGCCCCCUGGCAACUGCUGAUCUUUUUACAGGCUUCUCAGUUUGCCAGAAUGUCACAGUCAGAGUCGCACAGUAGGCAGCCUUAAGAAUCAGCGUGUUGAAACACACAAGAGCGUUGAGCUCAGACGUAAGGGCCGUGCUGAGCACAGCGAACGGCAGAGAGAAUCAGAACAGUGCAAGGAGGGCCUUCUGGCUUCCCCAAACUCCACGGAAGUCUCGAUUCGCAUCCUGGGGCUGCUCCUACUUCCCUUUUCUCAGGGUCUGCGCUCCCUCCCUGGAACAGCUGGGCCCAGGUCUCCCUCCAGGGAGCGUUCGGACGGAGCACGGCCACCCACCAUCAUGACUAAAGAUCAAAAAGAGCAAAACAGAACAAGACCUCAGGUCUCCGGACCAUUUCCCCCUUCAGAGGCGGAGAGCAGCACAUCAAAACCAGAAGAUGAGCCAGAAGGUGGGUGUGCAGAGUGGAAGCCGCGAGCCACCGGAGACAGAAGAGUGCGAAUCGAGAUGGGCUUGCAUGUGAAACACUCAGCAGAGGUCACAGAUUUGGGACCGGAAACAAGCGGAAUGUCUCUCACCGGCGACUCUUCAAUUCUGGAUUUUCAUGCGAAAGUGAUAGCAUCUGGCUUUUAUUUGGGUUAAAUAAAAUAUUUGAUUACAUUAAUUUCUCUCAUCUCUCUCUCCUGGGGCGUGGACCAGGUAGUUGAUGUUUUCAGAGCUCUGGGGGUGGGUGACUGUUAUGUCAUCAAAGUUUGGGACACGUGGAAGUUGUCGGCAAGUUCCCAUAGUAGGCGUCCCUGCAAUCCCAAGGACGAGCUCGAGCGCCCAAGAGCCUGUGUGCGGCGUGGGCAGGGAAACAGGCUCUGGGGCACCUGCUCG
ensembl:lncRNA